UCUUUUUUGAGAAGAAUUUCCUUCGCUUCAUCCAGGCCUGCUUUGUUAUCACUGCCAUCCAGGGCAAAAAACGGGCGGACCACAGUAUGAUACCAGAGCAGCGCUAAUCUAAAGGAAGAGGGAGAGAAACCGCUACUGUCACUUUAUUGAGGACGCACUUAGGGAAAUGCAGCAUUCCAGGGGAGAGCAACAGGAAUGUCCCAGGACUCGCCCGACUCCAUGUCCCAAAUGCAGUGACCUAAACAUCUGAGCUCAGCCAGACUCCGACGGGAGGAGCAGAGGCUGUGUGAGGACCGGGUGGAGAAGCUGCGCUCCGGGCCCACAGCACCGCGGCCCCAGCGGGAGGGACGCUUAGUCAGCUGAUGCCCAGCAACGCGGCCAGGAGCAGCCUCUGCCCAACAAGCAGAGAAAACAGUUGAACCCUG